rnacentral:rRNA from 1 species
CCUACGGGGGACAGCAGUAGGGAAUAUUGCUCAAUGGGGGAGACCCUGAAGCAGCAACGCCGCGUGGAGGAUGAAGGUUUUCGGAUUGUAAACUCCUUUUGUUAGAGACGAUAAUGACGGUAUCUAACGAAUAAGCACCGGCUAACUCCGUGCCAGCAGCCGCGGUAAUACGGAGGGUGCAAGCGUUACUCGGAAUCACUGGGCGUAAAGAGCGCGUAGGCGGGAUAGCAAGUCAGAUGUGAAAUCCUAUGGCUUAACCAUAGAACUGCAUUUGAAACUGUUAUUCUAGAGUAUGGGAGAGGUAGGUGGAAUUCGUGGUGUAGGGGUAAAAUGCGUAGAGAUCAAGAGGAAUACUCAUGGCGAAGGCGACCUGCUAGAACAUAACUGACGCUGAUGCGCGAAAGCGUGGGGAGCAAACAGGAUUAGAUACCCUUGUAGUC